UACGAACUGUGCGAACGUUAUUCGGAAUCACUGGGCUUACAGGGUGCGUAGGCGGCUUAGCAAGUCAGGUGUGAAAGCCCCCGGCUCAACCGGGGAACUGCGCUUGAAACUGCUGAGCUCGAGUCAGCUAGAGGUACACGGAACUUCCAGUGGAGCGGUGAAAUGUGUUGAUAUUGGAAGGAACACCGGAGGCGAAAGCGGUGUACUGGGGCUGGUCUGACGCUGAGGCGCGAAAGCUAGGGGAGCAAACGGG
rnacentral:rRNA from 1 species